UUCAGGGGCAGACGCCGUAGCAGCCCCUCCCCCGCCCCAGCAGCUCCGGCGGCGGCGCCCGGGCGCGCAGAGCGGGCAGAGUUUCGCAGCCGGGUGGGAGAUGCCGCUCUGGCUCCGUCUCCUUGCAGAUUUGCAGCCAACAUAAUGCUGGAGCUCCACACUCGAAACAAGCAUUUCACAGAAUGGCACAAUCAGAAUUUAAUUUGGAUCAUGAAAUAUCAUGGUUUGUGCUUCCCUCUUAUUGGGCUAAAAUUAUUGUUGGACUCAUUUCCUGCAUGUGUUUUGCUAACAGCUACGAUGGAGAUUUUGUCUUUGAUGACUCUGAAGCUAUCAUCAAUAAUAAGGACCUCAGAGCAGAAACUCCACUUGGUGACCUGUGGCAUCAUGACUUUUGGGGUGGCAAACUCAGCAGCAAUACCAGCCACAAAUCAUAUCGACCUCUUACUGUCCUGACUUUCAGAAUUAAUUACCUUUUUGCUGGAGGCUUUCACCCAGUGGGUUUUCAUGUCAUCAAUAUAAUACUGCAUUGUGCUAUCUCUGUAUUAAUGGUUGAUGUCUUCUCGAUAUUAUUGGGUGGGCUGCAAUACAGCAGUAAAGGAAGAAGGCUAAACCUUGCUCCAAAAGCAUCUCUUCUAGCUGCUUCACUGUUUGCUGUGCAUCCAGUGCAUACUGAAUGUGUUGCAGGGAUUGUUGGCAGAGCAGACCUGCUGUGUGCCCUGUUCUUUUUGUUGUCUUUCCUUGGCUACUGUAAAGCCUUUAGAGAAAAUAAGGAAGGGAACCAUUUUUCUAUUCUCUGGGUACUGGCGAGUGUUCUUCUUGGUGCAAUAGCCAUGCUGUGCAAAGAACAAGGAAUUACAGUACUGGGCUUGAAUGCUGUAUUUGAUGCUCUGGUGAUUAACAAACUAAAUAUUUUGGAACUUAUUCAAAAGGUACUACAUACGGACAAGUCAUUGGAGAAUGUUGGGUUGUUUAAAAAGGGACUCCUCUUCAGGAUAACUGUUCUGUUGUCUGGAGGGGCCACUAUGCUCUGCAUGCGCUGGAGAAUUAUGGGCACAGGACCACCCGCUUUUACUGAAGUAGACAACCCAGCUUCAUUUGCAGACAGCCUGUUUGUGAGAGCUAUAAACUAUAAUUACUACUAUUCGUUGAAUGCAUGGCUGCUGCUGUGUCCCUGGUGGCUGUGUUUUGAUUGGUCAAUGGGCUGCAUACCCCUUAUUAAAUCAGUCAGUGACUGGAGAAUAAUUGCACUAGCAGCACUUUGGUUCUGCCUAAUUGGCCUGAUAUGCCAAGCUCUGUGCUCACAAGACAGCCAUAAGAGAAGAAUUCUUACACUGGGACUGGGAUUUCUUAUUAUCCCUUUUCUUCCUGCAAGUAACCUGUUCUUCCGAGUAGGAUUUGUUGUUGCAGAGAGAGUCAUCUACCUCCCCAGUAUUGGCUAUUGUAUGCUACUUACGUAUGGAUUUAGUCUAUUGAGCAAACAAGCUAAGAAAAAGAAAAUGCUUGCUGCUGCUGUACUAGGAAUCUUGUUGAUCAACGUGUUGCGCUGUGUUAUCCGCAGUAACCAGUGGAGGUCUGAAGAACAGCUUUUUAGGAGUGCUCUGUCAGUGUGCCCUCUUAAUGCUAAAGUGCACUACAAUGUUGGCAAAAACUUGGCUGAUAAAGGCAACCAAACAGCUGCAAUCAAAUACUACAGGGAAGCUGUAAGGUUGAACCCCAAAUAUGUACAUGCCAUGAACAACCUUGGAAAUAUCUUGAAAGAAAGAAAUGAGCUCCAGGAAGCAGAGGGGCUGCUGUCCUUAGCUGUGCAAAUACAGCCUGAUUUUGCUGCUGCAUGGAUGAAUCUAGGAAUAGUACAGAAUAGUUUAAGAAGGUUUGAAGAGGCAGAGCAAAGCUACUGGACUGCAAUUAAACACAGGAAAAAAUACCCAGAUUGUUACUACAAUUUAGGACGGUUGUAUGCAGAUUUGAAUCGCCACAUAGAUGCAUUGAAUGCAUGGAGGAAUGCUACAGUUCUGAAACCAGAGCAUAGUUUGGCUUGGAACAACAUGAUUAUAUUGCUUGAUAAUACAGGGAAUUUAGCACAAGCCGAAGCAGUUGGAAGAGAGGCCCUGGAACUGAUACCUAAUGAUCAUUCUCUUAUGUUUUCUUUGGCAAAUGUACUGGGAAAAUCACAGAAAUAUAAGGAUGGUGAAACCUAGCCAUGUGUCUAAGCUAUCAAGUUUUCUGUAGUUGUCACAGGAGAAAUUUGCCUUCAGAGAGGACUUAAAAGAGAAGAGGGGAGAUGCUUUGAUGACCAGCUCAGGAAAGUCAUCCUGUUUGCAGGGGGGUAGUAUGGAAGAAAUUACAAGAGAUGGUUGUGGGAGAAAAUGGGGUUCUGAGAUUGUCACCAUUAGUGGAGUGGAAGGAACCAGAAAAUGGUAGUGGGGGAAAAUGUGAUGAGAAGCUCAGUAUGAUCAGUGGGGAAGUGUGGAGUUAUGCAGGGCCUUAAAAGGCACUAACAGGCAACUGGAACUUGGUGUGGUGUAGCAGGGGAGAGCAAAUGGAGGGAUUCAAAGAAGGGACUGAUGUGGUUUGUUCAACAGGGAAGGGAAUGGUCUUAGCAGCUACCUUCUCUAUGGACUGGAGGGGAAGAAUGUAGCAUCAGUAAAGCUAGGGAGCAGUAAGUUACAUGGGAGAUUAUGAGAGCUUGGGCAAGAGUUCUAACUAUAAGGAUAGAGAGAAAGGGCUGUAUCUCAGAGAUAUCUUCUAGGAAAAAGAUUCAAGAUUAGAACGUGUCAAGUGCCUAGACAAGUUGAGUGAAAUUUGUGUUGGGGAGAAAGUUGAAUGAUGAUAUGGCUUCCAGUACUUAAUGGAUAGAUAAUCUCAUAAAUAAUGUGUCUGCAUAAGGGUUGCUAAAGUGUCAGUUCUGCCCUUGAAGCACACUAAGCAUAUUUUUUUCAAUCCAUAUUCCUUUUGAAGCAUUCUAUUGAUUUGGAAAUGUCUUGCCAGCUUGAAAGCUAGGUUUUCUUUCAAUAUGACUGCAGCAAUGUUCCCUGUAGUUUCAAAUUCACUAUGCAUUUUUCCAGAACGGAUGACUUAUUGUUACAGAAAUGUAACUCCUAAGCAUACAAAAGAUGGAAAUUCUUAACUGAGAUCUGGUUUUAGCAAAUUAAUUUCCUUCCUUAAAUAUACUCCCUUUUUGAAAUGGACAAAGCAACCACAGAUCUUGGAAGCCAUCUCUAACACUUUGAAAGUAUGUGUAUAUUAUAUGUAUAGCCACAGUGUUUUUGUUCAAGAGAUACAAGAUGUUAGCCCCAUUGGCUAAGUCAAAGUGUCUCCAUAUUUGAGGUAAAAACAAACUCGUUUUGUGCUGCAACUCUGGCAGCAGAUGGAAUAUGCAGCAUGCUUUUUUCAAAGCUUUUGCUACAAACAGUGCUGCAAAUAUCCUGACAACACUUAAUUUAAAGAUUUGGCUGUCCAGACCAACUGAAAUAUUGCCCAGUGUACUGAAAUGUUUAUUUAAUGCAAUGGGAUAGUCUUCAAAUUGCCUUUAAUCAUCUGAUGCUCUUCUACUAACUGCUGAGCAAAGCAAUGGCAAUAAAAUCUUUUCAAUAAGUAUGUGCCAGAAGGCAUAUGGUAAUGGGAGUCAGCUGCAAACGUGUUUUAUUAAGUUUUCUGGAGAACACCAUGCACAAUAACUGUACUCUAUAAUACUUGGGUAGAGGAGGAAUGAGUUCCUAUGUUUGCUGCUCCUACUGUGUGGCUGGUGACAAUUUAUUGAAAGACUGGGUUAACUGGGCAGCAACAUAUCUCUGCACUUUGAUGGCUGUAUCUUCACAAUGGAAAAAGUAGAAGUCAACUUUUUAAGCUAUAAUCUUAGAAUUUCCAGCAUAUUGGAUAAUACAGCAAAGAUUGCGGAGAGAGUCCAACAUUGUGAGAAGUGUGACUUUAUUAAUCUUUUUUACUUUUUUCCUGCUCCUGCUGUUAGGGCAAUUUGUUUGGAGGAUUUUGCUGUGUGUGUAUGUGCAAUGAACUUGGUGACAGAUGGAGAUGCCAAUCCUGCCACCAAAGGCCUGUUUUCCCCACUUUAAAGAAUUCAGAUGCAUGGUUCAGUAGCUUGUUCCCAUGUAAGGAUAGAGUAGGCCUUCAUGGCUGUGGUUUAUAAAACUUUUCUCACAGGACAGCCUGUAUUUGGUUUUUGGACCUAAGAUGUAACAGCCUUGUACACCAGACAAUCUUCUAGGAAGUAGAGGCCUUUCCUGAGGUGCAUUGGACAGUAACUGUGCAUUAGGGUAUGCCUACACAACAGCUGGAAGGUGCAAUUCCCAGAGUGGGUAGACUUAAACAUACAUGCUAGCUCUGCUCGAACUAGCACCUAAAAAUAGCAGUGUGGCUGAGGUGGCACAGAUGGUGCCUUGGGCUAGCUGCCAAAUAUAUACCUAGAGGAUUGGGCGGGAUUAUACUCUUGCAGCUUUCCCAAACUACUGCCCGUGCUGCAGAAGCUAUGCUGCUAUUUUGAAUGCUCCAACUUGAGCGGAGCUAGCACGUCUGUAUAUGCAGACUAUCUACACUCACAGACUCAAGGAACGUGAAACAUACCACUUAUAGCUGGCCUUUUGUCUCUUAAGUCUUUUGCCUGGGAACUCAGCUGGAGACUGUCCAAGAAUCUAAAAUAUACAGCAGCACAGAAACUACCUAAAAUUACCUUUCUAAAAUAUCUAAACUUAACUUUAUAUUUUUUUUUAACAUGAUGAUUUUUAACAAGAAGGAUUCUCUGGGCACAGAGCAAAGGUCUCUGCACUGGCGGCUAGCUUUGGGAAGACAAAACUUGAAGUGGUUAAGAAACUGACCAGAUUCUUAUAAUCUUGGCUCUGAACAUUUGGUGAGAGGUCAUGAGAGGCCUUUGCUUUUCUAAAAGUUCCCAAACAUCAACAAUGCUAAGGACACAUCCCACAAGUGGGAAUAUUCAGAGGACGCUUGUAGAUGUAGAGAUUUUUUUUCCAGUAAUUUGUAGUUUUUAUAUUUUAAAGUAGAGGUACUGUUCCUCAAUGUGGAUUAUAUUCAGACCUCCGCUUCAGAUGUGUUUACUGAAUCUGAAGCUUUGUUCCUCAAGGCAAUUAAAGCCAAUCCAAAUGCAGCCAGUUAUCAUGGUAAUUUGGCUGUGCUUUACCAUCGCUGGG